GACGAGAUGAAGAGGAAAGAUGGGAAUGCACUCAUUCAUGGACUAAAGUUUGUUUUUUGUCACAUUGUCAACAUGUCAUUGGCAGAAGGUGCUAGAGUCACUCUGUCGGUUUGCGGGUCCUUCUGUAGGAGGUCUCUGUUAGGAACGAGAAGCCCUUCGAAGCUCACCUAAUCACUGACCCUGGCAAUGAACUGGGAAAAAGGAGGCCUGAGAGUCCCCCAAAUGUAAGGUCCUCACUCCCAGAAGUUCAUCCAAACCCAGAAGGACGGUGUUCUGAAGAGUGCACUGCCCUCUAGUGCCUUCCACUGGAAGACGCACAUCCAGCCACACUGCAAGGAGUUCUGCAGUUUCUCACGCCUGGGUUGAGACCUGAGAAUCUACAUUUCAAACAAGUGUCCAGAUGAGACUAAUGCUGCUGACCUGGGAAGCCAGCUUCAGAACCUCCAGU